rnacentral:lncRNA from 1 species
CAGAAUCACAUCAGACACAAAUCACCAGAAGAUCAGAAGCAUCUGAAGUAGAAACACGCUCAAGAAGUUCUAACUCUGAGCAAAACAGCAGAAUAUCAGAAGCAUCUCAAGAAGGAGUACACUCUAGAUGUUCUGACUCUGAACAACGGGAUAUCAAUUCCAGAAGCUCUCAGCGUCAUCUGAAGACAUCAUCAGAACUCUAAAAGAUCAACAUCAGAAGC